CCUUCAUCCAGUGGUGAUUUGGCCGGUCGCUUGCAGCCACUUAAAACAAAUAGCUAAAGACCGUCUUUGGAACCGG
rnacentral:ncRNA from 2 species